CAGCCGCCACGGUAAUACGUAGGGGGCAAGCGUUAUUCGGAAUUAUUGGGCGUAAAGCGCUCGUAGGCGGGAUGGAAAGUCCGUGAAGAAAGACCUGGGCCCAACUCAGGGAACGGCACGGAUACUUCCAUUCUUGAGGCAAUCAGAGGGUGAUGGAAUUCCACGUGUAGCGGUGAAAUGCGUAGAGAUGUGGAGGAACACCAGUGGCGAAGGCGACUCUCUGGUCUGUAACUGACGCUGAGGAGCGAAAGCGUGGGGAGCGAACAGGAUUAGAGACCCCGGUAGUCCCUGUCUCUUAUAC
rnacentral:rRNA from 1 species